UACGUAGGGGGCAAGCGUUAUCCGGAAUCAUUGGGCGUAAGGCGCGUGUAGGCGGUUCAGUAAGUCCGCUCUGAAAGCCCAGGGCUCAACCCUGGGAGGCGGGUGGAUACUACUGAACUAGAGUACGGAAGAGGAGAUUGGAAUUCCUGGUGUAGCGGUGAAAUGCGCAGAUAUCAGGAGGAACACCAACAGCGAAGGCAGAUCUCUGGGACGUAACUGACGCUGAGACGCGAAAGCGUGGGGAGCAAACAGG
rnacentral:rRNA from 1 species